ACUUAAGCAUAUCAAUAAGCGGAGGUCCGUAGGUGAACCUGCGGAAGGAUCAGU
rnacentral:rRNA from 1 species